UACGAAGGGGGUUAGCGUUGCUCGGAAUCACUGGGCGUAAAGGGCGCGUAGGCGGCCGCGUUGGUCAGGCGUGAAAUCCCCGGGCUCAACCCGGGGGCUGCGCUUGAUACGGCGGGGCUGGAGGGCGGGAGAGGCUCGCGGAAUUCCCAGUGUAGAGGUGAAAUUCGUAGAUAUUGGGAAGAACACCGGUGGCGAAGGCGGCGAGCUGGCCCGUUUCUGACGCUGAGGCGCGACAGCGUGGGGAGCAAACAGG
rnacentral:rRNA from 1 species